AGUAUCUCAUAAUAAUGAGAUAAAUUCUGCUGGCCUCCACGGACUUCCGUUUUUGCACUUCCGUAUUUUUCAAACUGCAGCAGCAGCGCAGCACACAACUUCAUUCGCGCUGAGUGGUCAGAAUGGCUAUUUGUACGCGUUUGCUGCUAGACCUCCCAAGAAUAAUGGUUAACGAUGUACACCGAAUCUUUCUUGCCUCGUCCGAAAUGCCAAAAUCUAGUAUGGACAAAGCUUGUAUUGUAUGCGCCCGGCUACAUACACAGCUAUGAAGGUAAGCUAACAAACUUCUGCUGUGAGUUACUAAAGAUGCUACACGCUAGCUCUCCACUAGCCUAAGUUAACACAAUAAGGAAACGUUAUUGGAGCGAUAAGUAAGGUCAUGCGUGUUUUUCAUGUCUGAAAUAAAAAAAAACAGUUUUUAUGUUAUUGUCAGUUUUAAUCAUGCAGUCAGGAGAGGUCACGGUUAGGUCCGAGUGUUUCAGGUCAAUGAGGAAAAACCAGAAGCCCCACCGUCUGAGUGUAGGGAAACGUUACCCUGCAGGUUCAGUGCAGGAUUGAUUCAGGUUCAAAAGAAGACUGUUCAUGUUUUUAAACGUCACAUUUUUGCGAGUCAUAUCAUUGCUUUUAGUUUGAUAACAGGUUAAUGACAUGCCUGAACUACGUGUGUCAUGUGGUAUCAGAGAUAAAAUGUGUCCCAGAAAGAAUAUAGUAAGUAAAGUUUGUAUAAAUAGCAUGUCACAGAAAGUCAAACAUUAGAUGACUCGCAGAAGCACAACAUUGUUUACAGUUAUUUUAUUUUUGUCCACUACUUGUUCUACUCUUCUAUUUUAAAAUGAGUUAAGUGAAGUUAAUCAUCAAUGUUUGUCUCUCCUUAAAUGCAGUUGUACUCUAACAAAUAUUCUGUGUUGUAACAGAUUGUGCUAAGGGAUUCAAAGCCGGUGGGGGUGCCAGUGUAUGUGUGGCAGGUGCAGCCUUGUGAUGUCAUGUGGCAGCUCAACUCUACCAGACGGCACAUUUCUCCUAGCUGAAACUUACAUCGGUCCCCCCCCCCCCCCCACACACACACACACACAGUGUUCAGCUGCACAGAAACUGAACAACAGUGGCACAAAACGGGGACCAAGGUAUUAAACCAGGUCCAGUUAAUGACAUGGUCAUCAUAUCAGCCAGACCAAGAGAGAGGAGACCGGUAGAAUGAACAAGAAGCAGUUUGUAAAAAGGAGUCAGCUUCCCCGAUGACAGCUUCAUUCUGAAGGUGCAGGAGGCGUACCACAGACUUGGUGCAGAUGAGGCUCCGGUGAUGACAGCCAUGGCUGUCUCUGGUGAUGUACCUCUGGUUGGGUCCACGUUUGGUUCGGUGCAGGAGGGAAGCGGGCCAUCUUACCAACUACCAGUGAGGACGGCCCCCAGGACGCGUCCACACAAAGACAACCCUUCUCUCCCACAACUGUCUCUCUCUCAUUAUAGACUGGGACCCUCUGCAUGUGCAUUUGUGUUUACUGAACAUCAUCAUUUCACAUCCCUCACAACAUCAUUAGGGAAAUCAUACAAAGCUGAGAACAGAACACAAUCGCAGAGUUUCUGUGUGGAGGGGCACCAACUAAGGAGAUGCCACAUCACUUCUACAAAAUUUAGAUAAGUGUGUCACACCAGGGCAGAAGGUUCUGCUGAGAACCUUGUGAAACAGCCUAUGUGAACAAGUAGUCAGACUGAUGACAAAUGUUGGGGUCUUGCUUUGGAGCCUACAGCCAUCAAGGAGUACUGCAAGGUAAUAGAGGUAAACCACUACCCUUGUGGGGUCCUGAUCCACCUUGAGGCACCAUGGAUGGGUUCAACACCAGAUGGGAUUAUGUAUGAUCCUGAGGGCAGCCUGAGUGUGGCCUGCUGGAAAUAAAAUGCCUAAAUGUGUGUAGCUUUGUGGAUUAUUAUGCUCAGAAAAGGUUUACUCUCUGUGGCGAUCUCAUCCUCAUUACUGGCAGGUCGGUGUUGACUGUUGAUUUCUCCAUGUGAGUGGUGUGACUUUGUUGUUUACACCACA